rnacentral:rRNA from 1 species
GCAGCCAUGCCGCGUGUGUGAAGAAGGCCUUCGGGUUGUAAAGCACUUUAGUCGUGAGGAAGGUAGUGUAGUUAAUAGCUGCAUUAUUUGACGUUAGGACAGAAGAAGCACCGGCUAACUCCGUGCCAGCAGCCGCGGUAAUACGGAGGGUGCGAGCGUUAAUCGGAAUUCUGGGCGUAAAGCGCAUGCAGGUGGUUUGUUAAGUCAGAUGUGAAAGCCCGGGGCUCAACCUCGGAAUAGCAUUUGAAACUGGCAGACUAGAGUACUGUAGAGGGGGGUAGAAUUUCAGGUGUAGCGGUGAAAUGCGUAGAGAUCUGAAGGAAUACCGGUGGCGAAGGCGGCCCCCUGGACAGAUACUGACACUCAGAUGCGAAAGCGUGGGGAGCAAACAGGAUUAGAUACCCUGGUAGUCCACGCCGUUAACGAUGUCUACUUGGAGGUUGUGGCCUUGAGCCGUGGCUUUCGGAGCUAACGCGUUAAGUAGACCGCCUGGGGAGUACGGUCGCAAGAUUAAAACUCAAAUGAAUUGACGGGGGCCCGCACAAGCGGUGGAGCAUGUGGUUUAAUUCGAUGCAACGCGAAGAACCUUACCUACUCUUGACAUCCAGAGAACUUUCCAGAGAUGGAUUGGUGCCUUCGGGAACUCUGAGACGGUGCUGCAUGGCUGUCGUCAGCUCGUGUUGUGAAAUGUUGGGUUAAGUCCCGCAACGAGCGCAACCCUUAUCCUUGUUUGCCAGCGAGUAAUGUCGG